UUCAUCUUCUUUUUUCGCUAUUGUAAAACGAGUUUUCUUUCUAACUCUGUACAACAAACGAACCUUUAAUGUUCUGAUCUCUCAUUUAAUCGUUCCUCACACAAUUUGUUGGUGUCCGUAUUGAUAGCAGAUUUGCUAAGCGGAGAAGAAUCCUUACCCACAUGUGGGCUGUUUCCAAGAGCACGAAAUUCAACUCAGGGCUCCCUUGGCAAAUCAGGACGACCGAGAGGUACACUUGCCGGUGAUGUAGUAGGUGCAUCAUUGACAGAAGAACAUGUUGGUAAAGUUGGAAUGACAUCUUUUGUUGAGUUUGCAAUGGCAACUGCGGCUUCAGCUUCAAUGGCUCCUCCAGGAGCUUGUAACUCUGAAUAGCAAAUCAACCAAUACUUCAUGAGUCAUAUGAAGAUACAUGCAAACCAAACAGUUUCUAUUGUUAUAACAUCUUUUAAUUUGUGUUCACAGUAUGCAUAUAAAAGUUAUGAAACGAAAAACAAACAAAAUAUAAAAAAAUAUAAAUGGCCACGAAUGUGCUAAGACGUUAAGGUUUUUGAUGUCUCCGCCAUCACAAUUGCAGCUACAUGAACAUAUUUAACUGCAAUAUUUAGGAUUGCACCAUAGCUGCGAUUUAAAACUUGCAAAUGAGCAAUGUACGACCUCCAAAUUACC